CCUACGGGAGGCAGCAGUAGGGAAUCUUCCACAAUGGGCGAAAGCCUGAUGGAGCAACGCCGCGUGGGUGAAGAAGGUCUUCGGAUCGUAAAACCCUGUUGUUAGAGAAGAAAGUGCGUGAGAGUAACUGUUCACGUUUCGACGGUAUCUAACCAGAAACCCACGGCUAACUACGUGCCAGCAGACGCGGUAAUACGUAGGUGGCAAGCGUUAUCCGGAUUUAUUGGGCGUAAAGGGAACGCAGGCGGUCUGUUAAGUCUGAUGUGAAAGCUUUCGGCUUAACCGGAGUAGUGCAUUGGAAACUGGGAGACUUGAGUGCAGGAGAGGUGAGUGGAACUCCAAGUGUAGCGGUGAGAUGCGUAGAUAUAUGGAAGAACACCAGUGGCGAAGGCGGCUCUCUGGUCUGUAACUGACGCUGAGGUUCGAAAGCGUGGGUAGCAAACAGGAUUAGAUACCCGAGUAGUC
rnacentral:rRNA from 1 species